AGCGUCUGGAAAGGCACGCGAUACAGGGUGACAGCCCCGUACACAAAAAUGCACAUGCUGUGAGCUCGAUGAGUAGGGCGGGACACGUGGUAUCCUGUCUGAAUAUGGGGGGACCAUCCUCCAAGGCUAAAUACUCCUGACUGACCGAUAGUGAACCAGUACCGUGAGGGAAAGGCGAAAAGAACCCCGGCGAGGGGAGUGAAAAAGAACCUGAAACCGUGUACGUACAAGCAGUGGGAGCAUGCUUAGGCGUGUGACUGCGUACCUUUUGUAUAAUGGGUCAGCGACUUAUAUUCUGUAGCAAGGUUAACCGAAUAGGGGAGCCGAAGGGAAACCGAGUCUUAACUGGGCGUUAAGUUGCAGGGUAUAGACCCGAAACCCGGUGAUCUAGCCAUGGGCAGGUUGAAGGUUGGGUAACACUAACUGGAGGACCGAACCGACUAAUGUUGAAAAAUUAGCGGAUGACUUGUGGCUGGGGGUGAAAGGCCAAUCAAACCGGGAGAUAGCUGGUUCUCCCCGAAAGCUAUUUAGGUAGCGCCUCGUGAA
rnacentral:rRNA from 1 species